rnacentral:lncRNA from 1 species
UAUCCAAAUUCCCAAACUAACAUGGCCAUACUGGCUGGGAGUAAUAGUUGUGGAAACUAAGGUCCAAAACAUAACUUUUUCAAGUUUUGCAGGAAUGUAAACAAACAAACAAACAAACAACUGGUAAGGAAAUACCACAAAACAUUACAGUGUAUUCUCCUGUUGUUUGAUGUUGCACCCCUACUAAGCAAGAAGGGCUACAGGCUACACUGAUGACCUGCUCCCCCACCCCACUAACAGUAGCAAUUUCAGAAACAUUUUUCCAUGAGGCAGAGGAAAAAACAGCUGAAGCAAUUAGGUACUCAAUGAAUGUAAACUUAACUGAUUUUCUCUAACAGAUAUUGCAACAUAUGGAAUAUACCAAAUGGGAAAGAAGAGGAUUCAUUCUCUUCAUCGUAAAUAAGAAAACUCCAUGGAACUGCCUUGAAUCUCUUCAGUGGGAGAACAGGACCAUCCAUCUGUUAGUUAGAUGUGAAGCAGCCCUCAGUCUAUAUCAUAGAUAUGGUGGAGCUUGUUGA